GACGAACGCUGGCGGCGUGCUUAACACAUGCAAGUCGAACGGAAAGGCCCUGCUUUUGUGGGGUGCUCGAGUGGCGAACGGGUGAGUAACACGUGAGUAACCUGCCCUUGACUUUGGGAUAACUUCAGGAAACUGGGGCUAAUACCGGAUAGGAGCUCCUGCUGCAUGGUGGGGGUUGGAAAGUUUCGGCGGUUGGGGAUGGACUCGCGGCUUAUCAGCUUGUUGGUGGGGUAGUGGCUUACCAAGGCUUUGACGGGUAGCCGGCCUGAGAGGGUGACCGGCCAAAUUGGGACUGAGAUACGGCCCAGACGCAUACGGGAGGCAGCAGUGGAGAAUAUGGCACAAUGGGCGGAAGCCUGAUGGAGCAACGCCGCGUGCGGGAUGACGGCCUUCGGGUUGUAAACCGCUUUCGCCUGUGACGAAGCGUGAGUGACGGUAAUGGGUAAAGAAGCACCGGCUAACUACGU
rnacentral:rRNA from 1 species